CAAACACGCACACACAAAGAAACAAAAGCACAUAAUUAAAAAAAAUUCUGCAUUUAUUUUGGAAUUGGUGACAUCUUCUGUGCAAUGACUUUAUAAUUAACAGAAUAAGUUAGAUUUACGAUGAAAAUAACACACUUAUUUAAUUAAAGAAGAAGUAAAAAAAAAAAUAGCAGAAGAAACGUACAUGUCUCUGAAAUUAAAACAAAAACCACCAAGCAAAAAUUAUUUAUAUACAAGUCAGCGAUAAGUUAAAAGCAGAAAACUUGUUUUACUUUUCUACUACGUUUCGUCAAGUUAAUUCCGUGUUUUUAAUAAGCCCAGUUUGAUGCGCCAAUGACACCACUUCCCUGUCACAUUCACUUUCGUCGAGACGUUGCGAAAACUCUGCUAAGUUGCGGAUUGAAGGUCGCUGUAGCCUUUUUAGUGUUUCCAAAACAUUUAUCCAGCAUGGCUUGGCGAUCUAGUGGGAAUACUAAUUCGCAUCUUGUUGAAAAUCUCUAUCAAAAUGGUAUAAUCAAAUCAGAGAAAGUUCGUGACACAAUGAAAGCAGUUGAUCGUGGCGACUUCUGUCAGCGUAACCCUUAUGCUGAUUCUCCACAGAGUAUUGGAUAUGCUGUUACAAUAAGUGCACCGCAUAUGCAUGCAUAUGCAUUGGAGUUGUUAAAAAAUCACUUAGUUGAUGGAAACCGUGCUCUUGAUGUUGGCUCUGGAAGUGGAUAUCUUACUGCAUGUAUGGCAUUGAUGGUUGGGGAAACUGGUUUGGCUGUUGGAAUCGAUCAUAUAGACAAGUUGGUGCAGUCCUCAAUUGACAAUGUAAAGAAAAAACAGCGACUUGGAUUCUUACUAGAUAAGGGUCAGAUGAAAUUAGUUGUUGGUGAUGGAAGAUUAGGAUACAAACCAGAUGCUCCCUUUGAUGCUAUCCAUGUUGGAGCUGCAGCUGCAGUUUUGCCAGAUUCUUUAGUUGAACAGUUGAAACCUGGUGGACGUAUGGUAAUUCCUGUUGGAGGUCAGGGAGAGAACCAAAUGCUUCAGCAAAUUGAUAAAAAUGAAGAUGGAUCAGUAACAAAGAAAAAUCACAUGGGAGUAAUUUAUGUUCCACUGACAAGCAAAGAAAAGCAAUGGCCAAAGUAUCUGGAAUAUUGCUGUCUUUGCUAAUAGUUCUGACAAUUCACCUACCCUUCAUCUACAUUUGAGCCACUCUCCUUACAGUUGCUGUCCCAACUCGAAGGGCCUAUGAUGAAUUAUGAAGUGAAAUACUAAGUACUUCUGGAAGCUAUCUUUUUUUUUUGUAAAUGACUUUUGCACUGCAACUACUAACAGCAGCUCCACUGUUUUACCCUGUUUCUCACCAUUGAUGAGGUUCAGAUAAUAGACAACAUAUGAGACUCUCCACUCCCUUUAUCUGCUAUUUAUAUUGUCAAUAAAUCAAUUUAUUGUUUUUUUAACAAUCGCUUUGUAAAAUUUGUUCAGAAGAAAAGAAAAAGAAACUUCAGAUCAAAAGAUUAAUUUUUUUUAUUUUCAUACAUAUUUUGAGCUCCUUUACUGAAACACUAAUUCUUUAAAUAAAUUAUUCCUAAAUGAAUAGAUGCAAUUAUUUAAGAGCUAUACCAAACAGCUCAUAACAUAAUCAAGAUAGCAGUAAACAGUUUGUUAUAUAACAAAGAUACUAAGAUAUUCGCAAUACAACUAACACAUUGGUGUCCACCAGUUACACCAAAGCAGUUCAUAAUACAACUAAAAUAACUAGGCUAAACAGUUCAUAAUAUAACCAGCUAGAUAAAU
rnacentral:misc_RNA from 1 species